rnacentral:rRNA from 1 species
CCUACGGGGUGCAGCAGUGAGGAAUAUUGGUCAAUGGACGAGAGUCUGAACCAGCCAAGUAGCGUGAAGGAUGACUGCCCUAUGGGUUGUAAACUUCUUUUAUAUGGGAAUAAAACGUUCCACGUGUGGGAUUUUGUAUGUACCAUAUGAAUAAGGAUCGGCUAACUCCGUGCCAGCAGCCGCGGUAAUACGGAGGAUCCGAGCGUUAUCCGGAUUUAUUGGGUUUAAAGGGAGCGUAGGUGGAUGGUUAAGUCAGUUGUGAAAGUUUGCGGCUCAACCGUAAAAUUGCAGUUGAAACUGGCAGUCUUGAGUACAGUAGAGGUGGGCGGAAUUCGUGGUGUAGCGGUGAAAUGCUUAGAUAUCACGAAGAACUCCGAUUGCGAAGGCAGUUCACUGGACUGCAACUGACACUGAGGCUCGAAAGUGUGGGUAUCAAACAGGAUUAGAUACCCUAGUAGUC